rnacentral:rRNA from 1 species
AUUGAACGCUGGCGGCAGGCCUAACACAUGCAAGUCGAACGGAGCGGCGGGCGGGUGAGUAAUGCAUAGGUAUCUGACAGGUAGUGGGGGAUGAGGUCAGCAAACGGGCGCUAAUACAGCAUACUAUUUGAUGAGCCUAGGUCGGCAUAGCUAGUUGGUGGGGUAAAGGCCUACAAAGGCGACGAUCCCUAACUGGUCUGAGAGGAUGAUCAGUCACACUGGAACUGAGCCACGGGCCAGACUCCGCCGGGAGGCAGCAGUGGGGAAUAUUGGACAAUGGGCGCAAGCCUGAUCCAGCCCGGCCGCGUGUGUGAAGAAGGUCUUCGGAUUGUAAAGCACUUUAAGCUGGGAGGCGUUACCAACAGAAUAAGCACCGGCUAACUUCGUGCCAGCAGCCGCGGUAAUAC